rnacentral:rRNA from 1 species
ACUCCUACGGGAGGCAGCAGUGGGGAAUAUUGCGCAAUGGGCGGAAGCCUGACGCAGCGACGCCGCGUGAGGGAUGAAGGCCUUCGGGUCGUAAACYUYUUUCAGCAGGRAAGAAGCGAGAGUGACGGUACCUGCAGAAGAAGCACCGGCUAACUACGUGCCAGCAGCCGCGGUAAUACGUAGGGUGCAAGCGUUGUCCGGAAUUAUUGGGCGUAAAGAGCUCGUAGGCGGUCUGUCGCGUCUGCUGUGAAAACUCAGGGCUUAACCCUGAGCUUGCAGUGGGUACGGGCAGACUAGAGUGCGGUAGGGGAGACUGGAAUUCCUGGUGUAGCGGUGAAAUGCGCAGAUAUCAGGAGGAACACCGGUGGCGAAGGCGGGUCUCUGGGCCGUAACUGACGCUGAGGAGCGAAAGCAUGGGGAGCGAACAGGAUUAGAUACCCUGGUAGUCCAUGCCGUAAACGUUGGGCGCUAGGUGUGGGGACCUUUCCAUGGUUUCCGUGCCGCAGCUAACGCAUUAAGCGCCCCGCCUGGGGAGUACGGCCGCAAGGCUAAAACUCAAAGGAAUUGACGGGGGCCCGCACAAGCGGCGGAGCAUGCGGAUUAAUUCGAUGCAACGCGAAGAACCUUACCAAGGCUUGACAUGGGGUGAAAACUCGCAGAGAUGCGGGGUCCGUAAGGGCGCCUCACAGGUGGUGCAUGGUUGUCGUCAGCUCGUGUCGUGAGAUGUUGGGUUAAGUCCCGCAACGAGCGCAACCCUCGUUCCAUGUUGCCAGCACGUUAUGGUGGGGACUCAUGGGAGACUGCCGGGGUCAACUCGGA